rnacentral:miRNA from 1 species
GUGUGAAUGGAGAAGGAAGAGGAGGAAGGGAGGGGAAAAGGUGUUGGACAAACUGGCCCGUGUGGGAAGAGAAACAGUAACGUCAAUCGGAGGAAGUUUCUCUCCUUCUCUCCCUCUUCUUCUUCUUUUUCUC